rnacentral:tRNA from 1 species
GAGAAGAAUUUAAGAAUAAAAGAAACUGCUAAUAUCUUUAUCUAUGGUUAAACUCCAUAGUCUACUCA